rnacentral:rRNA from 1 species
GAUGAACGCUGGCGGCGUGCCUAAUACAUGCAAGUCGAGCGAACGGACGAGAAUCUUUCUUCUCUGAUUUUAGCGGCUGACGUGUGAGUAACACGUUGAUAACCUACCUAUAAUACUUUUAUAACUUCGUGAAACCUGAUCUAAUACCGUAUGAUAUUUUGAACCUCAUUGUUCAAAAGUGAAAUACGGUCUUUCUUUCUCUUAUAGAUGGAUCCGCGCUGCAUUAGCUAGUUGGUAAGGUAACGUCUUACCAAGGCAACGAUGCAUAGCCGACCUGAGAGGGGGAUCGGCAACACUGGAACUGAGACACGGUCAAGAGGACUACGGGAGGAAGCAGUAGGGAAUCUUCAGAAAUGGGCGAAAGAAUGACGGAGCAAAGCAGCGUGAGAGAUGAAGGUAUUCGGAUCGUAAAACUAUGUUAAUAGGGAAGAAAAAAUGUGUAAGUAAAUGUGCACAUAUUGACGGUAACUAAUCAGAAAGAAACGGCUAACUACGUG